GUACACUCCUGCGGGAGGCAGCAGUGGGGAAUUUUGGACAAUGGGCGAAAGCCUGAUCCAGCAAUGCCGCGUGAGUGAAGAAGGCCUUCGGGUUGUAAAGCUCUUUUGUCAGGGAAGAAACGGUGAAAGCUAAUAUCUUUUGCUAAUGACGGUACCUGAAGAAUAAGCACCGGCUAACUACGUGCCAGCAGCCGCGGUAAUACGUAGGGUGCAAGCGUUAAUCGGAAUUACUGGGCGUAAAGCGUGCGCAGGCGGUUUUGUAAGUCUGAUGUGAAAUCCCCGGGCUCAACCUGGGAAGUGCAUUGGAGACUGCAAGGCUAGAAUCUGGCAGAGGGGGGUAGAAUUCCACGUGUAGCAGUGAAAUGCGUAGAUAUGUGGAGGAACACCGAUGGCGAAGGCAGCCCCCUGGGUCAAGAUUGACGCUCAUGCACGAAAGCGUGGGGAGCAAACAGGAUUAGAAACCCUAGUAGUCCCA
rnacentral:rRNA from 1 species